rnacentral:rRNA from 1 species
UACCAGCUCUCCGAGUGGUGUGGAUGUUUAUUGGGCCUAAAGCAUCCGUAGCUGGCCAAGUUAGUCCCCUGUUAAACCCACCGAAUUAAUCGUUGGCGUGCGGGGGAUACUGCUCGGCUAGGGGACGGGAGAGGCAGACGGUAUUUUCGGGGUAGGGGUGAAAUCCUAUAAUCCCGGGAAGACCACCAGUGGCGAAGGCUGUCUGCUAGAACGCGCCCGACGGUGAGGGAUGAAAGCUGGGGGAGCGAACCGGAUUAGAUACCCGGGUAGUCCCAGCUGUAAACGAUGCAGGCUAGGUGUUUGGACGGCCAUGUGCCGUUCUAGUGCCGCAGGGAGGCUGUUAAGCCUGCCGCCUGGGGAGUACGGUCGCAAGAUUGAAACUUAAAGGAAUUGGCGGGGGAGCACCACAAGGGGUGAAGCUUGCGGUUUAAUUGGAGUCAACGCCGGAAAUCUCACCGGGAGCGACAGCAGUUUGAAGGCCAGAUUAAAGGUCUUGCCAGACGAGCUGAGAGGAGGUGCAUGGCCGUCGCCAGUUCGUGCCGUGAGGUGUCCUGUUAAGUCAGGCAACGAUCGAGACCCGCGUCCUCUGUUGCAACCAGUCUUGAGCUGGGCACACUGAGGAGACCGCCGCUGAUAAAGCGGAGGAAGGAGCGGGCCACGGCAGGUCAGUAUGCCCCGAAUCUCCCGGGCCACACGCGAGCUGCAAUGGCAGGUACAAUGGGUUCCGACCUCGUAAGGGGAAGGCAAUCUCGAAAGCCUGCCGUAGUUGGGAUUGAGGGUUGUAACCCAUCCUCAUGAACAUGGAAUCCCUAGUAAUCGCGUGUCAUCAGCGCGCGGUGAAUACGUCCCUGCUCCU